rnacentral:pre_miRNA from 1 species
UGGGGUUGUUCUGAGUCAAGCUUUGUCAACUUUGACCGAGUUUGUAGAUAAAAACACCAACAUAUUUAAUGCUACUAAACAAAUGUAAUAUGAAAAUAUACUUAAUAGUAGGCUUACUGAUACUAGUUUGGGGUUACAUAUGUUGGUGUGCUUUCCUACAAAGUCGGUCAAAGUUGACAAAGUUUGACUUAGGACAACCCCAA